rnacentral:lncRNA from 1 species
GGGAGAUAAGAGAUGGGAAAGCAAACAGCGAGAGCUGAUUGGGGCUAAGCAGAGAGAAAUCAAAUUCUCAUUGCAGCUUCUCAACAGAUAAAAUCCAAAUCAAAGCAAAUGUGAUGAAAUGGCAGUGUUAGAAAUGUAUUGUAACGGGAAGGAUCGUGUGCUGCUAACUGUGCUUCCAAGUGUGCACAAGCCAAAUGCUUGUGACAUGUGUGAGGCCAGGCGGGCCUGCACCCAAAGGAGCCCGGCUGCCCCCAAAGGAGCCCAUCUGGCCCUAAAGCAGCCUGGCUGCCCCAUGUGGAAGCUCAGGGGCAGUCAGGAGGGUCAUUGCCAUCACUGCCUUCACUGCCCACACCUGGGGGAAUUCCACCCCCUCGAAGCAGGGAGCAAGAAAGGGAUAAAAAGGGUGGGAAGGGCAGGCUCCUGCUUCUUGAGGGGUGGUCAGCAGGGGGGACUGCUCUGGUGGGUACCUGGAGUAUUUGCCCUGAGGUUUGGUUUGUGCAUUUUUGUUGUCUUCCUGCAGCCACCAGGGCCCUCGCUGCUGCCUUGUGUGUGCAGUGCUGUGACUGAACAUAACCUGCUGCAGGUGUGGUGUCCUUGUACCCUCCUGGCAACUGGCAAGCAGGAGACUUUUUUACAGGAGUGUGUGUCUGGCAUUCCUCUGAAAAGCUCUCGCACAACUUAUGGGUAAGCUUGAUGUAUGGUUCUAGUUGAUGAAUUAUAUCUACUACAACUGAAAUAAAUGCUUGGGAGCAAAUUGACA